rnacentral:sRNA from 1 species
AGCAGCAAGUUGAAAAGAGCAAAAAAAAAAAAAAAAAAAAAAAAGAGAGAGACGGAAGUACAAUUACAAUCCCAUCCCACAAAAAGGUCAAGGGCUACCUGAAAGACCGGUAGGCCCCAGGGUCCUCAAAGCAUCCAAGCCAUCCCUAUACUCUCAGGAAAGAAAUAAAAGCCAAAGUGAUAACUUAAAAAUGAAGCUGCCACCCACAGGGGAUGAGGACUUGGAUGGAGCCCAGCAUCAACAAGGCGGAUCACUUGAGCCUGGGAGUUUGAGGCUGCAGUGAGCCAUGAUUGUGUCACUGCACUUCAGCCUGGGAACAGAGCAAGACCCUGUCUCAAACAGGUCAAACAAACAAACAAAAACAAAAGAGUCCAAUAACCUUCAUGGACACACAACCAUUCUUAAUAAAAUAUUAGCCAAUCAA